rnacentral:rRNA from 1 species
AUACAGAGGGUGCGAGCGUUAAUCGGAAUUACUGGGCGUAAAGCGCGCGUAGGCGGUCUAUUAAGUCAGAUGUGAAAUCCCAGGGCUCAACCUUGGAACUGCAUCUGAUACUGGUAGACUAGAGUUUUGGAGAGGGAAGUAGAAUUUCAGGUGUAGCGGUGAAAUGCAUAGAGAUCUGAAGGAAUACCAGUGGCGAAGGUGACUUCCUGGCCAAAAACUGACGCUGAGGUGCGAAAGCGUGGGUAGCAAACGGGAUUAGAAACCCCCAGUAGUCC